rnacentral:rRNA from 1 species
UGUAUAGCGAAAGCUAGUUGUGCUAUAUUUAGUACAAUAUUGACUAUGUCAAAUAAAGUUCUGGGUAGAAUUAUGAUGGUGACAUUGUCUAUCCAUGUGUCUUGACCAAAUUACGUGCCAGCAGUCGCGGUAAUACGUAGAAGACUAGUGUUAUUCAUCUUUAAUAGGUUUAAAGGGUACCUAGACAGCCUAUCAAGCCCUCCUAAAAUGGUACUAAUAGGCUAGAGUUUAAUAUAAGGAGGCAUUAAAGUACUGAGAAUGUAGAGAGAUGAAAUUCUGUGAUACUAUAUAUGGCACAGGUAGAGGCGAAAGCAUCUUCUUAUGUAAAAACUGACGUUGAGGGACGAAGGCUGUGUGUAGCCAAAAGGAUUAGAUACCCAAGUAGUCUCAGCAGAAAAUGAUGAAUGUCAUAGGAUAGAUUAAUUUUUGUACUAUAAAUGAAAGUGUAAGCAUUCCACCUUAAGAGUAAUUUGGCAACAUUGGAACUGAAAUCAUUAGACCGUUUCUGAAACAAGUAGUGAAGUAUGUUGUUUAAUUUGAUGGUCCGCAAAAAACCUUACCACAAUUUGAAUAUGAAUUAUUUAUACAAGCGCUGCACGGUUGUCUUCAGUUAAUGUCGUGAGAUUGUGGUUAGUUCCAUUAAAUUAACGUAAACCCUUACUUUAUUUUUUAAUAGAGUUGUUCACCGCUAUAUUGGAUGUGAUA